UACGUAGGGUCCGAGCGUUGUCCGGAAUUAUUGGGCGUAAAGGGCUCGUAGGCGGUCUGUUGCGUCGGGAGUGAAAACUUACAGCUUAACUGUGAGCGUGCUUCCGAUACGGGCAGACUUGAGGUAUUCAGGGGAGAACGGAAUUCCUGGUGUAGCGGUGAAAUGUGUAGAGAUCGGGAGGAACACCGGUGGCGAAGGCGGGUCUCUGGGCAAUUCCUGACGCUGAGGCGCGAAAGCGUGGGGAGCAAACGGG
rnacentral:rRNA from 1 species